rnacentral:rRNA from 1 species
UACGUAGGGUGCAAGCGUUAAUCGGAAUUACUGGGCGUAAAGCGUGCGCAGGCGGUUUUGUAAGUCUGUCGUGAAAGCCCCGGGCUUAACCUGGGAAUUGCGAUGGAGACUGCAAGGCUUGAAUCUGGCAGAGGGGGGUAGAAUUCCACGUGUAGCAGUGAAAUGCGUAGAGAUGUGGAGGAACACCGAUGGAGCGAACGGCAGCCCCCUGGGUCAAGAUUGACGCUCAUGCACGAAAGCGUGGGGAGCAAACAGG